rnacentral:rRNA from 1 species
UACGUAGGGGGCGAGCGUUGUCCGGAUUUAUUGGGCGUCAAGAGCUCGUAGGCGGCUUGGCAAGUCGGGUGUGAAACCUCCAGGCUCAACCUGGAGACGCCACUCGAUACUGCUAUGGCUAGAGUCCGGUAGGGGACCACGGAAUUCCUGGUGUAGCGGUGAAAUGCGCAGAUAUCAGGAGGAACACCGGUGGCGAAGGCGGUGGUCUGGGCCGGCACUGACGCUGAGGAGCGAAAGCGUGGGUAGCAAACAGG